GUCAGGCAGGUGUUUCACAACCAUCUUUACUUCCUGGAGAUUAUUACUGAAUGGGGCAUGCUACUCAGAGAACCAGAACGUAACAAGUAAAAGGAUGCUGGCUGGGGAAGUCUGGAAGCUGAAACCCACAUAUCUUCAAUCUGAUAAGGUUGAGAAACACUGCUCCGGUGCAUCUGGUGAAAGUGACAAAAUCUUCCCGAUUACAUCUACCCCUCCUAUCAGAUCUGGCAAAAGGGACACAUAGCAGGUGUGGUUUAAUGGGACCUUAAAGAUGAGUCUUUUUUGCCAGGGCAUCUGCCCUCUGGAACAGCAGCCCAUCUGAAAGAAGGUUAGUUCCAAUCUGUGACUUUCAAGAGAGUCCUUCAAACUUGGUUACCUGGGGAUCCUCUGAUAAAAAAUCCUCUGUUUGCAUUACAGGUAAUAUCUUCCUUCUCUUAAGAAGAGACUGGACAACAUUUGUCUGAAAUGGUAUAGGGCAGACAUGUCAAACUCGCA